rnacentral:rRNA from 1 species
CGUACACUCCUGCGGGAGGCAGCAGUGGGGAAUAUUGGACAAUGGGCGCAAGCCUGAUCCAGCCAUGCCGCGUGAGUGAUGAAGGCCCUAGGGUUGUAAAGCUCUUUCACCGGUGAAGAUAAUGACGGUAACCGGAGAAGAAGCCCCGGCUAACUUCGUGCCAGCAGCCGCGGUAAUACGAAGGGGGCUAGCGUUGUUCGGAUUUACUGGGCGUAAAGCGCACGUAGGCGGACUAUUAAGUCAGGGGUGAAAUCCCGGGGCUCAACCCCGGAACUGCCUUUGAUACUGGUAGUCUUGAGUUCGAGAGAGGUGAGUGGAAUUCCGAGUGUAGAGGUGAAAUUCGUAGAUAUUCGGAGGAACACCAGUGGCGAAGGCGGCUCACUGGCUCGAUACUGACGCUGAGGUGCGAAAGCGUGGGGAGCAAACAGGAUUAGAAACCCGAGUAGUCCCAUGAU